GGGGCUGUAGCUCAGUUGGUAGAGCGCCUGACUGACUCGGAAGGCCGCGGGUUCGAAUCCCGCCAGGUCUG
rnacentral:tRNA from 1 species